rnacentral:rRNA from 1 species
UUCGCAAUGCCCGAAAGGGUGACGAAGCGACGCCGCGUGUGGGAAGAAGGCCUUCGGGUUGUAAACCACUGUCGGGAGUUAAGAAAUGCAAGAAUGUUAAUAGCGUUUUUGCUUGACUAAGGCUCCGGAGGAAGCCACGGCUAACUCUGUGCCAGCAGCCGCGGUAAUACAGAGGCGGCAAGCGUUGUUCGGAAUUAUUGGGCGUAAAGAGCACGUAGGCGGCUAUAUAAGUCGGUUGUGAAAGCCUUCCGCCCAACGGGAGAACAGCAUCCGAUACUGUAUGGCUUGAGUGUGGGAGGGGAGAGCGGAACUCCUGGUGGAGCGGUGAAAUGCGUAGAUAUCAGAAGGAACGCCGGCGGCGAAAGCGGCUCUCUGGCCCAUAACUGACGCUGAGUGUGCGAAAGCUAGGGGAGCAAACGGGAUUAGAUACCCCGGUAGUCCUAGCCGUAAACGAUGGGCACUAAGUAGAGGGGUUUU